rnacentral:pre_miRNA from 1 species
UCUUCUGGAUGAGCAAGAAAAGUGGUUUCUUGAGAUAGAAUCUACUACUGGUGAAGAUGCUAUGAA